UACACCUCUUCUAUGAAAUCAAUAUACGUAGUCCCCCUUCUAGUCGCUAGGUGGCACCACAGCUUUAAAGCAGAGCCAAAAAACUGUGGAAUAACUUACCAUGGACGGUAUAUUCGCCAUCUAUGGUCUUAACCUCAUUCCUCUUUUUGUGCUUUGGUGGCACAUGUUCAUUUUUAUUCGGCGUCGGUGUUUUCAGCUUUUUUCAGCGUUUUUGGAAGUUAAAUGGAGAAGUACAAGUGAGAUUUACGUUAUUCCUUAUCGGAUGAAGAAAGAACCUACCUACGACGAAAGAUUAAAUCUUUCCAUCCGCGAUUACGUAAUCGCUAGUGGCGUGAUUCCCAUCAACGAGAUUUUCUUACAAUUGGGAGACGAUUUCUUCAUCGUCCGGGUUCCGAUCGGAAUCCCCAGAACUCGAAAGACCCCCCAUCUUUCCCACUUAUACGACAGCAGUCGUAUGUAAGUGUUUCACAAUUGGAAGCAAUCCUUUUGUGAGGGGGUCGGCCAUACAUAUGGUUUUAUAUUUUUUCGACAUCGAAAAAAUAGAGUUUUCUGGCUCGUCCGGCUAUGGAUGAGGCGCCCGGGAUACUGGGACAUAAUGAACAAUUUUUUAUGGCUGUUGGAAUGCAUUUACUCCAUCGUAAGUAUAUUUUUUAGGCCCUUCAAUUAAUUCUGAUGUCAUUGUUGAGCCCCUUGAGACGGAUUUAAAGCAAAAUGGCCUUUAAGCUAUGGGGUCGAUAGUCCCAACACAAAGUUUGAUGUGUCAUGACAUUUUGGCAAGUCAGAUUAAUACCUUUUUGAAAUCCGGUGUGUCCGAAGAUUGUCUCAGUGACCUUUUGCGUUGAUAUCCUGUGCCGAAGAAUUGCCCGCUCAAUAACUCUCCUAAAUUGAAUGUGCAGAUGAAAUCUGCCAUCAACAAAGGUGGAAAGAAAAGGGAUGAGAGACUGACUGCAACAAGGGGUGCUUUGAUGGUGGUUGGUAGGACGCUCUUGACCUUGCUUUUGAAACCGGUUAAGGAUGAGUAGUACUUACUUCUCAUCGAAAUGUUGAGUAAUGCAAUAUUUGUUUUAAGCAAAAUACACCAUUUAGGUUCAGUAUAUAGAAGUUCAGCCGCGUUAAGCCUUUCGCUGGUCUCAAAUGAAAUGCAGCCUUGUAUGAAGGAAGUGCUCGUUGAUGCUUCUUUGCACUCUUGUUUAUAUGGAGAAGAUUUGGCUGAUAGGCUCAAAUCAAUCAGAUUAGCUGCAGAUUAGUGGCCGAGUUAAAGUCGGGUGCAUCCGGAACAAGGCUUUUAUAGCAUACAAAUUUAAACUCGACCGUCCCACUUCGUUCCCGGAAGUUGCAAGGCUGAAGUGGGUGAAAGUCAUUGUACCCUCAAAAGAGGGAAUACAGGAAGGUUCGAGAGGAAAGGGGGUGGAGUUGUGUCCCCAGGAAAAAAUAUUUACAGAAUCCUGAAUGCCCUGUAAGGCAGCAAUGUUACAAACUUGAGAUUUUCUCAGAUGGUACUCCUUUGGGUUGGGGAAUUGUGCCAGAGGACUUUGGAGUCCUAGGGAAGCUCAGUUUCAUAUUAAUGCACUAGAAUUAACUGCGGCCUCAUUUGGUCUCUAAUGCUUCGCCUCGUAUUUGACUAACUGCGAGACACUUUUGAGGAUUGAUAAGACAACUGCUAUUUUGUAUGUAAAUAGAAUAGGGUGAGUAAAAUUUCCUGUUUUAAACGAAAUUUCGAGGCGCCUUGGGGUUGGUGUGAAGAAAGGAGGUUAUGGGUUAAAGCAUCUUACAUUCGAUCUUCCGAUAAUUUUGAAGCGCAUAAGGAACCCACGAAUUUGAAUUUUGAUGGUGAAUGGUACCUUUCGGACAAUGCUUUUGCUAAAAUAACAAGCAAAUUUGGAUUCCCAUAAAUCGAACUGUUUGCUUCUCGCCUAAGUAAGAAAUGCAGAAAGUUUAUUUCCUAAUUUCCAGAUCCGGAGGCAUCUAAUGAAGACGCGUUUACUGUUUUUUGGAGCGACAGUUUCUUCUAUGUUUUCCCCCCGUUUUGCUUGUUGCCACUUGUUUUACGAAAAAUCAAGGCUGAUUGAGCUACAGGGAUCGCAGUAAUCCCUUACGGGCACAGCCAGCAUUGACAAAUUACCUUCUUCUUUUGACAGGAGAGGUCACCCUUUGUGGAAAUCCCUUACCCUGGCUGCAGGGAUUUUGUCAGGCAAGCAUUCCAGAAGAUUUGCUGGAUAUUUUUCUAUCAUCUGUUCAGAGCGCUACCUUGAGGCAUUUAAUACCUGCAUGCAUUUAAACUUUGGUGGAGCUUCUACGAAAGGAGGGGAGUGGAGUGUUAUUACUUCUCACCUAGGCUGUAUUAGAUUUCCUUACUAUUCAUUUUAGACAA